UUACGGCCAUGUCACGUAGAAACACCGGUUCUCGUACGAUCACAGAAGUUAAGCAACGUCAAGCCUGGUCAGUACCUAGAUGGGUAACCGCUUGGGAAUACCAGGUACUGAA